GGAGCUGGGGGAAGUUUGGAAACUGUCUCCCUGGAGAGGUAUGAAGUUUUCCAGGGCACCCCAGACUUGGUGAAAGAGGCCAUUUCUGCUGUCAUUGGCAGCAGCCCUCGGCCCCAUGGACUGUAGCCUGCCAGGCUCCUGUGUCCAUGGGACUUUCCAGGCAAGAAUACUGGAGUGGGUUGCCAUUCCCUUCUCCAGAGGAUCUUCCCAACCCAGGGAUCAAACCUGAGCCUCCUGCGUUACAAGCAGAUUCUUUACCACUGAGCCACUGGUGAAGAUAUUGAGGAUCUUAAUUUCCCCACCAAGGAUUGAACCUGGGCUGUAGUGGUGAAAGCACUGAGUCCUAACCACUGGAUCACCAGGGGAUUCCCUAAAAUAUAACGUUUCAAAAAGAUUUCUGAAGUUACCCUGACCACCCGAAAACUGGAUUCUUGGAAUAUCCAGGUCCUGGGAGCAAUCCAGAGCCUUCAUUGGUGAUGAGGCUAUGUGUAUGGUACCCGGAGAGCAAGAUUCAGCAGAACCUUCAAGAAAACAUUUCCUGCACUGUCCAAAAAGUUCCCGUAAAUGGGAAUGUUAUAAAAGUGGAUAACAUUUACCAGGUGCUUUGAAGAGCCCUGGCUCAGUGCUGGGCCCUUGGCAGGUACUACGUUUGUUCUUUCAUUUAAACUUUACAAUAACUCUUGAGGCACACGUUACUUUUAUCAUCCCCAUUUUAUAAACGAGGACACGGAGGCA
ensembl:lncRNA